GAUGAAGAACGUAGCGAAAUGCGAUACUUGGUGUGAAUUGCAGAAUCCCGUGAACCAUCGAGUCUUUGAACGCAAGUUGCGCCCGAAGCCAUCAGGUUGAGGGCACGUCUGCCUGGGCGUCACAUAUCGUUGCCCAAUGCCUAUUGCAGUGCAAUAGGAAUUUCUAGGGCGAAUGAUGGCUUCCCGUGAGCGUUGUUGCCUCGCGGUUGGUUGAAAAUCGAGUCCUUGGUAGGGUGUGCCAUGGUAGAUGGUGGUCGAGUUAGAACGAUACCGAUCAUGUGCAUGCUCCCCAAAAUAUGGACUCUUUGACCCCACACGCGUCUUUUGACGCUCAUGACGAGACCUCAGGUCAGGCGGGGCUACCCGCUGAGUUUAAGCAUAUCAAUAAGCGGAGGA
rnacentral:misc_RNA from 1 species